rnacentral:rRNA from 1 species
AGUGAACGCUGGCGGUAGGCCUAACACAUGCAAGUCGAACGGCAGCACAGUAAGAGCUUGCUCUUACGGGUGGCGAGUGGCGGACGGGUGAGGAAUACAUCGGAAUCUACUUUUUCGUGGGGGAUAACGUAGGGAAACUUACGCUAAUACCGCAUACGACCUACGGGUGAAAGCAGGGGAUCUUCGGACCUUGCGCGAUUGAAUGAGCCGAUGUCGGAUUAGCUAGUUGGCGGGGUAAAGGCCCACCAAGGCGACGAUCCGUAGCUGGUCUGAGAGGAUGUUCAGCCACACUGGAACUGAGACACGGUCCAGACCCCUACGGGAGGCAGCAGUGGGGAAUAUUGGACAAUGGGCGCAAGCCUGAUCCGGCCAUACCGCGUGGGUGAAGAAGGCCUUCGGGUUGUAAAGCCCUUUUGUUGGGAAAGAAAAGCAGCAGGUUAAUACCCCGCUGUUCUGACGGUACCCAAAGAAUAAGCACCGGCUAACCUCGUG